rnacentral:antisense_RNA from 1 species
GAUGUUGAAAAGGAGAGACUCUAUGGAGUGUGGAUGUAGAAAAGGAGUUAUUCCUACUGGAAAAAAAUGAACUGUGGACACAGUCACUCCAGAGAAACAACCACUAUGAGUAAGUAGCUUCAAUUUCACUGUUACCAGGAGGGCACACACCAGAAAGCCUGGGACAAAGCCUGGGCUAGAGCCCUC